UGAAUACGAGAUGCUACGGCGUCGAAGCAGUCUAUGUCAUACUUCCAAGAAAAGCUCGCACUGUCAUAAACAAAUAAUGCCUGUACCAUAACCGACACAGGUGGGUAGGUAGAGUAUACUAAGGGGCGCGAGAUAACUCUCUCUAAGGAACUCGGCAAAAUGACUCCGUAACUUCGGGAGAAGGAGUGCCUUAUUUAUAAGGUUGCAAUAACAAGAUCCAAGCAACUGUUUAUCAAAAACACAGGUCUCCGCUAAGUCGUAAGACGAUGUAUGGGGGCUGACGCCUGCCCAGUGCCAGAAGGUUAAAGAAGUUGGUUAGCAUUCGCGAAGCUGAUAACUGAAGCCCUGGUGAACGGCGGCCGUAACUAUAACGGUCCUAAGGUAGCGAAAUUCCUUGUCGGGUAAGUUCCGACCCGCACGAAAGGCGUAAUGAUUUGGAUACUGUCUCGGAGAGGGGCUCGGUGAAAUAGACUUGUCUGUGAAGAUGCGGACUACCUGCACCAGGACAGAAAGACCCUAUGAAGCUUUACUGUAACUUGAGAUUGAAAUUGGACUUUACUUGCGCAGUAUAGGUGGGAGGCGUUGAUAAUAUUCUUGCGGGAUUAUUUGAGCCAUCAGUGAGAUACCACUCUUGUAAUGUUAGAUUUCUAACUUUGUAUCAUUAUCUGGUCAAAGGACAGUUUCAGGCGGGCAGUUUGACUGGGGCGGUCGCCUCCUAAACGGUAACGGAGGCGCACAAAGGUUUCCUCUGAACGGGUAGAAAUCGUAUCUAGAGUGUAAAGGCAUAAGGAAGCUUGACUGUGAGACCUACAAGUCGAGCAGGGACGAAAGUCGGUCUUAGUGAUCUGACGGUGCUGAGUGGAAAGGCCGUCACUCAACGGAUAAAAGUUACUCUAGGAUAACAGGCUGAUCUCCCCCAAGAGUUCACAUCGACGGGGAGGUUUGGCACCUCGAUGUCGGCUCAUCGCAUCCUGGGGCGGUAGUACGUCCCAAGGGUUGGGCUGUUCGCCCAUGAAAGCGGUACGCGAGCUGGGUUCAGAACGUCGUGAGACAGUUCGGUCCAUAUCCGGUGUAGGCGUUAGAAUAUUGAGAGGAGCCUUCUUUAGUACGAGAGGACCGAGAAGGACAUACCUCUGGUGUACCAGUUAUCGUGCCAACGGUAAACGCUGGGUAGCUAUGUAUGGAGUGGAUAACCGCUGAAAGCAUCUAAGUGGGAAGCCCACCUCAAGAUAAGUAUUC
rnacentral:rRNA from 1 species